rnacentral:rRNA from 1 species
GACGGAGGGUGCAAGCGUUGUUCGGAUUGACUGGGCGUAAAGGGCGUGUAGGCGGUUGGCCAAGUCUGAUGUGAAAGCCCGAGGCUCAGCCUCGGAAGUGCGUCGGAAACUAGUCGGCUGGAGCGCGAUAGAGGAGGGUGGAAUUCCUGGUGUAGCGGUGAAAUGCGUAGAUAUCAGGAGGAACACCGGCGGCGAAGGCGGCCCUCUGGAUCGUUGCUGACGCUGAGACGCGAAAGCGUGGGGAGCAAACAGG